CAAAACUUUUGUUUUUAUCAACCCACCAACCAACCAACCAAUCAGAUGUCAUAUUUACCCGUUGUAGGACACGGUCAGACCAGCCACCUGAACGUUGUCACACUUAGUGCCAGACUGCAGAGGGAGGAGGAGGUAGGCCAUGAAGGAGGUGACGAAAGACAGCUGGGCUCCAGACACAACGCCAAGCUUAUACCUCUUCGUCAGUAGACCUCCCAGGAAUAUCCCCACUGCACCCACAGGCAGGUUCAACUCACCUGAUCACAGUCAUGUCAACAGUGGGCAUCAGGCUUGUAAGAGACAUGAAUUAUCUGUGAGAUUCAGUGAACAAGGCUAGAAGGUGAGAUUCUGUCUCUCUUAACUACUCAUUGUACUGAAUAGAUAAUCAUGAGCUAACAUUGUACUACGUUAUCUGCUGUAACACACAGUUAGUAUUUUUAGGGAAGCAAGGCAUUUGUGUAGAAUGUGCAUUGUAGAGUAUGUUCUUUGCAUUCUUUAUCAUGUAUUUCUCAUAGAAAGAGUCUAUUCUAGUCAUUCAUCUAAUCUUGUCAUUCGAUUUCUAUGGUAUUUCUCUCCAUUAGGACUGGGUAUUGGCUCCUACGGGUUACUCUGCCUUCCACUGUGAUGGAGAAUGUCUCUACCCUCUGUGUUCCUGCAUGAACUCCACCACCCACACUAUGAUCCAACUAGUGGUCAGUAUGCACUACUACACCCUCUCUCACAUGAACGCUCACAUUACUGGUUUCAGUGGGAAAGACGGGAAAUGGUUCAGACAUUAAUGGCAAAUAUAAAAAACUAAGAUUGCCAUUGUAGACUCCGGUAACUUGGGUGACUGUUAAUGUAGAGUAGGGAUAGUGAGAAGUAACAUUCAAGACUGAAGAAAUGAUCCCCUCUAGUGGUAUACUUUAUACUGUACCAGGUUACUACACACACUGAUAAUACAAAACAUUGAGGACACCUGCUCUUUCCCAUGACAUAGACUGACCAAGUUAAAGCUAUGACCCCUUAUUGAUGUCACUUGUUGAAUCUACUUCAAUCAGUGUAGAUGAAGGGGAGUUAAAGAAUGAUUUUAAAACCUUGAGAGAAUUGAGACAUGGAUUGUGUGUGUCAUUCAGAGGGUGAUUCAGCAAGAGAAAAGAUUUAACUGUCUUUGAACGGGGUAUGUUAGUAGGUGCCAGGUGCACCGGGUUAAGUGUGUCAAGAACUGCACCACUGCUGUUUUUUUUCAUGCUCAACAGUUUCCCAUGUGUCUCAAGAAUGGUCCACCACCCAAAGGACGUCCAGCCAACACAACAUGGGCCAGCACCCUUGUGGAACGCUUAGGGCAGCUUGUCGAGUCCAUGCCCAGAGGAAAUUAGGCUGUUCUGAGGGGAAAAGAGUGUGCAACUCAAUAUUAGGAAGAUGUUCCUAGUCUAUUGUGGACUCAGUGUAUGUCAUCCUACAUGUUUUUAAAUAGUACAGU
rnacentral:lncRNA from 1 species